rnacentral:lncRNA from 1 species
AUUUGACAUAAAUCAUUUAUUAAAUUUUUUUUUAUUAGUUAUACAUGGCAUUAUAAUGCAUUUUCACACAGUACACAUAAAUAGAGUGUAACUGCUCCUUUUUCUGGUUGUACUUGAUGUGGAUUCACACCAGUCCUGUAAUCAUAUAUGCACACAGGAUAAUAGUGUUUGAUUCAUUCUUCUGUUCUUCAUCCCCAACUCUUUAAAUUUGAUUUUCAGAUGGGGUCUGGCUAUGUUGCCCAGCCUGGCCUGUAAGUCCUGACCCUCCUGCUUCAGUUUCUCAAGCUGUUGACAUUAAAAGCAUUGGCAAUCCCAGCUAUGGAAAAUAGUUCAUUUUGGUUUAAAUAUUAAUGACCAUACUCAGGAACAUGGAUUCAAGUGACCCUAAAUGAUGUAUGUGUCCCACCCUGAAAGACAAGGAUUAAACCCAGGGGCACUUAAUCACUGAGCCACAAUCAGUCCUUUUUAGAUUGUAUUUUGAGACAUGAUCUCAUCAAGUUCCUUCUGCCCUCACUAAAUUGCUGAGACUGACUUUGAAUUUAGCAGUCCUCCUACCUUAUCCUCUAAAGCUACUGGGAUUACAGUUGUGUGGCACUGUGUCUGGCCUACAUGAACUUUUAUAAAAGAAACUGUGUAUCACUACAUUAACCAAUUGCACUGGUAGGAUCAUCAGAUGGCUGGGCUGCAGAAAGAAAGAAAGGAAGGAAGAAAAAAGAAAUUUCUUCUGACUGUUGUUAUUACAUUCUUACUUUGGUAGAUGGUGGGGACUAGAUGUCUGGUAAGGAUAGUGAUAUAUUCUGAGAAAUUUAAUAGUUUUGAGAAUUGUGGUCUUAUCCAGAAAUUAAGAUAAUUGGCUAUUAAAGGGCUUAAGAUAGCCCAAGAUAAUUUUUGCUCUCCAUACAGAACCCUGCCUUUCCACCCUCAUGGUGGUCUGGUUAGCCAAGUCAAAUACUCUGAAGGUACUUUGAUGUAGAUGCAACUGUAUAGAGAACUUGAGUGCACAGCCAUAAAAAUCUUGUGCUUCUCCCUUUAUCUUUCUUAGGUGUAGACACCAUGUCAGAUUUCUUGGGCAGAGGUUCCCUUUGGAUGCCUCACAGGGUCCCAUGUCCUCAGCCACUGUCCCUUCCUGGAGCUGCCACAAGGUGCCCACAGCUGCCCUGGUCCCUGCAGGGUGAACAGAACUUCAGGCCCUGGGUCAGUUCCUCCUAGAGGACACCUGAGGUGUGGGGUGCAGCCUCUCAGGGAAGCUGCUGGGGGCUCUGGGCUGAGAAAUCUCCUGGAACAGGCCUCAUCUAGACAGCUACUUCCUUGGGACCUUGUUUUUCCCAAUCUCUGUUCCCAUUCCGUGGAGAGAGGUGGCCAGUCAGCCUGUGGAUGCUGGUGCUGAGGGUCCAGGUCAUCAGUGAUUCCUGCCCUUGUAGUCUCACAGUGUGAAGGAGCGAAACCUCUCCCAGGGCAUAAGCAACACCCACCCCAGUGCAGAGCUGUGCAAACCUGAAAAGCCUCGUAGACUGGCGUCAUGGUCUAGGUCCCUGGGAGGGUGAUCCUAGAGGCUUUCAGGAAGCAAGACCAGGAGGGAGCAUGUCCCAGAUGUCAGGGACCUUCCCUGCCCCUUGAGCCUGACACAUGUGUGCUCCCUCAGCACCAAAGCUUUCUGUGUAUCACUUUGAAAUGAUCUGCU